rnacentral:rRNA from 1 species
UACGUAGGGGGCUAGCGUCGUCCGGAAUCAUUGGGCGUAAAGAGCGUGUAGGCGGUCCGGUAAGUCCGCUGUGAAAGUCGGGGGCUCAACCCUCGAAUGCCGGUGGAUACUGUCGGGCUAGAGUACGGAAGAGGCGAGUGGAAUUCCUGGUGUAGCGGUGAAAUGGCGCAGGAUAUCAGGAGGAACACCAUGGCGGAAGGCAGCUCGCUGGGACGUGACUGACGCUGAGACGCGAAAGCGUGGGGAGCAAACAGG